rnacentral:lncRNA from 1 species
AAUUCGUCGUGCUCUUUCCCAUUCGUUUACAGCAGCUAAAGCGUUUAUAGCAUCUCUAAUCCUAUCAGCUUGUAAAAAUACCUGUGUUCAUAAAAACAUCGACUUUAUUUACAUAUUUUAUAAAUUUAAGUCGUAUAUUAUUAUUAUUAUUAUUAUUAUUGUUAUUAUUAUUAUUAUUGUUAUUAUUAUCAUCAUCAUUAUAUAAAAAGCUGACUCAUAAAUAAGUCAGUUUUGACAAGAAUGCAUAUUAUUAUAAACAAGUAUAAUUUACAAAUGUUAAAUUAUUAAAAAGCUAUUUCUGGAUCAGCUUGAUGAAGAAGAAUAUCAGCUGCUCGAGUUAAAGAAGUUUUCGACGCUUGUGGAUCUAGGAUAAGAAUAUCCAAUGCAGCACGUAUUUCUCCAACUUCUAACCACUUCUGAGCUUCUUCUAAGGCAUUCAAUCCAUCAAUACCUGCACUUUUUUGUCCUAAUUCUCUACGAAGUGCAGCCUCUUGACUUGAAGAGAUUCUGCAAGACUGUAAUCCUGUGUUUCUGCUGCUUCUGUAGCUCUUGCAACAAGAACUUGAUUUAAUGCGUUUGGAAUAUGAGACUGUGCUACGUCUUCAGCAGCUUCCCAAUCUCGACCAAUGCAAUUGUCAUAGCAUCUGCCGUAUACAAGGUUUGUACUUUAUGAGUUUUUAUGAAUGCAGCACGGACUUUGCCAUCUACGAGACCAGCUAUAAUUGGCCCUUCUGUAGGCCAGACUAAGCAAGUGACUGCUGAAUUUUGUUUGAAUUUAUUGCAUAUAACUUUUUUUUCACCCCUAUGAAACAUUUUUAUAAGUGACACAUAUGUUUGUAGUGCGACAUCUAAUAAAGAUAAUGAUAUGUAAAACA